UUAAGCGACUAAGCGUACACGGUGGAUGCCCUGGCAGUCAGAGGCGAUGAAGGACGUGCUAAUCUGCGAUAAGCGUCGGUGAGGUGAUAUGAACCGUUAUAACCGGCGAUUUCCGAAUGGGGAAACCCAGUGUGUUUCGACACACUAUCAUUAACUGAAUCCAUAGGUUAAUGAGGCGAACCGGGGGAACUGAAACAUCUAAGUACCCCGAGGAAAAGAAAUCAACCGAGAUUCCCCCAGUAGCGGCGAGCGAACGGGGAGGAGCCCAGAGCCUGAAUCAGUGUGUGUGUUAGUGGAAGCGUCUGGAAAGGCGCGCGAUACAGGGUGACAGCCCCGUACACAAAAAUGCACAUAUUGUGAGCUCGAUGAGUAGGGCGGGACACGUGGUAUCCUGUCUGAAUAUGGGGGGACCAUCCUCCAAGGCUAAAUACUCCUGACUGACCGAUAGUGAACCAGUACCGUGAGGGAAAGGCGAAAAGAACCCCGGCGAGGGUGAAAAGAACCUGAAACCGUGUACGUACAAGCAGUGGGAGCCUCUUAAUGGGGUGACUGCGUACCUUUGUAUAAUGGGUCAGCGACUUAUAUUCUGUAGCAAGGUUAACCGAAUAGGGGCCGAAGGGAAACCGAGUCUUAACUGGGCGUUAAGUUGCAGGGUAUAGACCCGAAACCCGGUGAUCUCAGCCAUGGGCAGGUUGAAGGUUGGGUAACACUAACUGGAGGACCGAACCGACUAAUGUUGAAAAAUUAGCGGAUGACUUGUGGCUGGGGGUGAAAGGCCAAUCAAACCGGGAGAUAGCUGGUUCUCCGAAAGCUAUUUAGGUAGCGCCUCGUGAAUUCAUCUCCGGGGUAGAGCACUGUUUCGGCAAGGGGUCAUCCCGACUUACCAACCCGAUGCAAACUGCGAAUACCGGAGAAUGUUAUCACGGGAGACACACGGCGGGUGCUAACGUCCGUCGUGAAGAGGCAACCCAGACCGCCAGCUAAGGUCCCAAAGUCAUGGUUAAGUGGGAAACGAUGUGGGAAGGCCCAGACAGCCAGGAUGUUGGCUUAGAAGCAGCCAUCAUUUAAAGAAAGCGUAAUAGCUCACUGGUCGAGUCGGCCUGCGCGGAAGAUGUAACGGGGCUAAACCAUGCACCGAAGCUGCGGCAGCGACACUAUGUGUUGUUGGGUAGGGGAGCGUUCUGUAAGCCUGUGAAGGUGGCCUGUGAGGUAUGCUGGAGGUAUCAGAAGUGCGAAUGCUGACAUAAGUAACGAUAAAGCGGGUGAAAAGCCCGCUCGCCGGAAGACCAAGGGUUCCUGUCCAACGUUAAUCGGGGCAGGGUGAGUCGACCCUAAGGCGAGGCCGAAAGGCGUAGUCGAUGGGAAACAGGUUAAUAUUCCUGUACUUGGUGUUACUGCGAAGGGGGGACGGAGAAGGCUAUGUUGGCCGGGCGACGGUUGUCCCGGUUUAAGCGUGUAGGCUGGUUUUCCAGGCAAAUCCGGAAAAUCAAGGCUGAGGCGUGAUGACGAGGCACUACGGUGCUGAAGCGACAAAUGCCCUGCUUCCAGGAAAAGCCUCUAAGCAUCAGGUAACAUCAAAUCGUACCCCAAACCGACACAGGUGGUCAGGUAGAGAAUACCAAGGCGCUUGAGAGAACUCGGGUGAAGGAACUAGGCAAAAUGGUGCCGUAACUUCGGGAGAAGGCACGCUGAUAUGUAGGUGAAGCGACUUGCUCGUGGAGCUGAAAUCAGUCGAAGAUACCAGCUGGCUGCAACUGUUUAUUAAAAACACAGCACUGUGCAAACACGAAAGUGGACGUAUACGGUGUGACGCCUGCCCGGUGCCGGAAGGUUAAUUGAUGGGGUUAGCGGUAACGCGAAGCUCUUGAUCGAAGCCCCGGUAAACGGCGGCCGUAACUAUAACGGUCCUAAGGUAGCGAAAUUCCUUGUCGGGUAAGUUCCGACCUGCACGAAUGGCGUAAUGAUGGCCAGGCUGUCUCCACCCGAGACUCAGUGAAAUUGAACUCGCUGUGAAGAUGCAGUGUACCCGCGGCAAGACGGAAAGACCCCGUGAACCUUUACUAUAGCUUGACACUGAACAUUGAGCCUUGAUGUGUAGGAUAGGUGGGAGGCUUUGAAGUGUGGACGCCAGUCUGCAUGGAGCCGACCUUGAAAUACCACCCUUUAAUGUUUGAUGUUCUAACGUGGGCCCCUUACCGGGGUUGCGGACAGUGUCUGGUGGGUAGUUUGACUGGGGCGGUCUCCUCCUAAAGAGUAACGGAGGAGCACGAAGGUUGGCUAAUCCUGGUCGGACAUCAGGAGGUUAGUGCAAUGGCAUAAGCCAGCUUGACUGCGAGCGUGACGGCGCGAGCAGGUGCAGGUCAUAGUGAUCCGGUGGUUCUGAAUGGAAGGGCCAUCGCUCAACGGAUAAAAGGUACUCCGGGGAUAACAGGCUGAUACCGCCCAAGAGUUCAUAUCGACGGCGGUGUUUGGCACCUCGAUGUCGGCUCAUCACAUCCUGGGGCUGAAGUAGGUCCCAAGGGUAUGGCUGUUCGCCAUUUAAAGUGGUACGCGAGCUGGGUUUAGAACGUCGUGAGACAGUUCGGUCCCUAUCUGCCGUGGGCGCUGGAGAACUGAGGGGGGCUGCUCCUAGUACGAGAGGACCGGAGUGGACGCAUCACUGGUGUUCGGGUUGUCAUGCCAAUGGCACUGCCCGGUAGCUAAAUGCGGAAGAGAUAAGUGCUGAAAGCAUCUAAGCACGAAACUUGCCCCGAGAUGAGUUCUCCCUGACUCCUUGAGAGUCCUGAAGGAACGUUGAAGACGACGACGUUGAUAGGCCGGGUGUGUAAGCGCAGCGAUGCGUUGAGCUAACCGGUACUAAUGAACCGUGAGGCUUAACCU
rnacentral:rRNA from 1 species